UGGCUCUGAAAAUCAAUUUAUCAAAAUAUUAAAUUAAUACAUUGUAAAUUUAUAAUAGAUUUAUAAAUUUAUAAUGAUAUACAAGUACUAAUAAUAAUAUUCAAAUAGCUUAAUUUUUAUACAAUAUUAUACAAAUUAAUACAAUCUGAAGCUAAAAGGGUGUUACUCGUAAAGUUAUCUUUAUAUAAUAGGAUUCUGCAAAACGAUCGUAAAAAAGAUACUGAAAGUCACGAUGAACUUUGAAAAUCCCUUGGGAGUCUCCAAUAUGUCAAGGCUCGGAAUCCUGUUCUAUAUCGCGUGGCACAUUGAAAUAAAAUAUUCUCCGCUAUACCGUCAAGCAAUAUAGGUGCAAAAAUUCAGUAUAAAUGCGGUAUUUCAUCGAUUAAAUAUCCUAACGUCACAGAAAGAUGUCAAUCCUAUAUUAGCUUAACCAUAUAAACCAGUGUUUCCCAACUUACAAUUUUCCCUUCGUGUUUACGUAUAAAAAGGCAUUUUUAAUAAAAUAAAAAAUACACUAAAAGCAUAUUUUCCAGAAUAUUGUUCCAAAGUGACUGGAGCCUCUCAGAAGCCUUCUAUCAGGAAUCUAUUGACUCUACGAUCCGUCACGCUUAUGCUAGUGACUAAAAUUUUUUAGUCAUUUUCUCAAGUUUUUAAUAAUGUGAUUGAUUUAAAAUUAAUACUAUAGAUAUCAAUAGUAAUUUUUUUCAGUUACUUUUGACAAGAACAUCGUAGAAAUUUCCUACAAUAAGAUAUUACAAGUUUUCUUUUAAAUUUCUCAACUUUAUGGAAGCUACAGUGAUCCUAAACUUUUGGUCAGUAGUAUAAUAUUAGCAUACCAAAAGAUGGUUACUCAAGAUCUCAAAAUGUGCCUUUUCGUACCCGUCGGUAAUCUGGCUAUCGAUAAACCAUGCAGGAUCCCUUAAGGACCCCUCUUACUCAAGAACGUCGAUCGUUGCAUUUUACUAUGCUAAGAAUUGAACAGAACUCGUUGGCUGCGGUGGUCUGCGUUGAUAAUAUCCUCGAGAUGGCGGAGAAAGGAUAGUUUCUAUUUGAUAAGAGGCGCAAAGGAGUCGACCGAUCGGUAAAGAGUCUACGAGGCAUUCGCGGAAUCAAUACUUUGACAUACUUGGUCGAAGAGGCUGUCGUUGCAUUUAAACGAGCUCCAAUAUAGGGUGAAGAAGUCGAUUCAGGAAAGGGUGUGUUGCUUCUAAAUGUGGAAAAGAGGAGACUGACUAUAUGUAGUUGAAGGAACAAUAUCGUACCUCACGAACGGACUGCGGUCACGGAAAUAGCUCAGAUACGUCUCAUCUCGGUACAUGUAACGUAGAUCGUUCUUGCAGCCCACUAACAGUACCGGAGUCUGUGGGCAGAAUCGUCGUAUUUCCGGAUACCACAUCGCCUUGCAGUUCCGUAAAGAUACGGGAUUUGUUAUAGAGAAACAUAGUAGCACAACGUCCGAUCUAAUUUUAAACAUACGUAGAGAUUAAUUGUUUGAUCUUUGGAAAGUUAAAUAUACUAAUCGUGUAUUCUUGUAUUAAAAUUAUGAAGUUUCAGGAGAUUUAUGGUUGAUCAGUACUGGCUUCUAAGUGGUUCGCGUAGAAAUAAUAAAAAGGAGAAAAGAAUAAUUACAGCGUGUAAAUGAUAGACCACGUAUAAAAAAUUGACAUCAAAAUAUAUGAAAUUAUUUUCUUAGAGGAAUAAGAGGUAAAUUCUAUACUAAAUAUGACGGUAAACGGGAUAAGUGUUAAAAUAAUUUAUAUUAGUUUUUAGAGCUAUCGUAAGAUAAAGCUAAAAUUGUAAGUGGCAACUCUACUACGAUCGAAGAAGAUACAAGAAUAUUGUGUUUGUGCGUUAAAUGGUACGCUAAACACAGUGGAAAUUUAUGAGAAGAUUUAUUUGACGAUUAUCUUACCUGCCGUACGCGAAACGUCGAUCCUUCUCGUGGUCGCCAAACGUGUCCCAAAGUCGCAGGGAAACAUUUACGUUAUCGACUACUUCCCAGGAACGUUCUAGGACCUAGAAAAUGGACGCAAGUUGAAGUCUUUUAUCUUAGUUACAUUUUUACAUUUAACGACCGAUCUACAGUGUGCGGGAAACAAAAUAUGAGACUUUGAGGUAAAUUCGUCAAACAGUCCAUUGAGCAAAGACCAAAGACGCAAUAACGUUCCUCAAAAGCGAUCAGACGAAACUGGCCAAACCAGAAAUCUACGCAGAGAUCACGAUGAAAGUGAAAAUACAGUACAGGUAUUUGAACGCCUCUUAAAUGACCUGAGGGUAAGCACCGAUGUAAACAUUUCCUCCCAACUUAAGAAUUUUCAACUUCGACAUUUACUGCUCGUUAAACGCUACAUCGCGUGCGAAGCGUUUUGCGUUGUCUUUUCAAAAUUAAAACAAUGAUUACUACUAACAAAUUGGAGGCCACGAUUCACAAAUUCUACCAAACCCAAUCUACAUGGAAGAUAAAAAUUACAAUCAACGAACGAUA